GCCAGCAUGGCAUAGUGGUUUGAGUGCUGGACUUCGACUCUGGAGAUCAGGGUUCAAUUCCCACCUUGGCC